rnacentral:rRNA from 1 species
CCUACGGGUGGCUGCAGUGAGGAAUAUUGGGCAAUGCCCGCAAGGGUGACCCAGCAACGCCGCGUGGAGGAUGAAGGCCGUAAGGUUGUAAACUCCUGUUAGAGGAGAAGAAUAGUACCGAUUGGAUCGGUAUUUGACUGUACCCUCAGAGAAAGCCCCGGCUAACUACGUGCCAGCAGCCGCGGUACUACGUAGGGGGCAAGCGUUGUCCGGAUUUACUGGGUGGAAAGGGCGAGCAGGCGGCAGAGGUGAAAUCCUACAGCUUAACUGUAGAACUGCCUUUGAUACUGUUAUUCUUGAGUUCGGGAGAGAGAGACGGAAUUCCAGGUGUAGUGGUGAAAUACGUAGAUAUCUGGAAGAACACCAGUUGCGAAGGCGGUCUCUUGGUCCGAUACUGACGCUGAGGCGCGAAAGCGUGGGGAGCAAACAGGAUUAGAUACCCUAGUAGUC